GGGAGGGAGGGAGGAGGCACCCGCGGCGGGACCCGGGCAGCAGCCAGGACCUCCGCCACACCAACAGUGAGACUGAUUGGCUUUUAAUUACUAUCAGCUAUCAAAAUCCAAAUUCAAGUACUGCGUCUGUUAGUACACAACUCUUUGAUCUACGUUGUAAGAGUCAAGAAAUUCUCAGCUGUACAGACCUGGAUUAUCCCCUUCUGUGCAGAAAGGUUCCUCUGGAGCUCCUCGUGGAGGAAAAGCUGCUGCCGGGGGAUGGACUGCAGUGCUGCUCAGGGUGAUGGCUGAGCGCAUGGAAAUGAGUUACUCGUGUUUGACCCAUCAGCCAAUUUGUCCCUUCAAACAGCAAGGUUUAACCCAACAAAUUAGUCCUUAAAAUCUGAAAACUCUGAAUGCUUUUGCAUGGGAAGUGAGUGUGUGAGUCCUUGCAGUAACAGACUCUAUGUUCACAUUGCUUUUGCAUAUGCUGGCUUGCUGGAGCUAAUAUUAGCCUGUGUAAGAGACUGAGUACACAGGCAAUUAGACAGCAGUUCAACUACAUCAAGAUGCACCACAAUCCUCUUUCAUCCUGAUAAAUUAUUUUUUCCCAAACCAGCCAAAGGAAUAACUUACCUUCCUGUCUCCCAUGUAGCAGAGGUCACUCUCCAGGGAGGAAUCAGAUUGUUAUUUGAUGGAUAUUAACCUUUGGAGGACUCCCCCUCUUAUCUUCCCUGUGCUCUAUCAGUGUUUAGGCUGCCAGCCUGGAGGGUCUGGGAAGCUGAACAGGAGAAUGUGGAUUUGGACAAUGAGACCUCCUCAGUAAAAUAAUUAUGCACUGGACCUAAAAUAUGCAAACUGUAAGAGUCUACAAUAGGGAUUUGAAUCUGUGCACUGAUAAAAGCAGCUUGGUUGGGAUUUAACUGUGUUCCAUUACAAUGAAGAGCAAAACUCACUGGAAAGGAAAGAGGGAGGAUAGGAUCAACUUAUUUCAAAGAAGCUAUAAGCACCAUUAAAAUUCUGUAAUCUUCAGGUGCAGCUCACACCCAGAAGCUCUCCUUGAGCAGUUCUCCUCCAGGUGAUGCAGAACCAGUGUCUGUCCUUUAGAUUCUUCUGUACUGUGUCAGAGAAAGGAACAGGCAGUAAUGGGGCAUUUUUGAGUGCAUAAAGAUUUCCUAAAAUCAUUUUUCUGCCCUCCUCUACAGUCUGAAGUUAAUUUUCUUUGCAUUAUAUCUGCUGAUAUUUAAAAACUUGGGUAUUUAUUGCCUGCACACUAAUGAAAAAAUAAAUAACUGGAAAGAAGUGAAGAACA
rnacentral:lncRNA from 1 species